rnacentral:rRNA from 1 species
ACGAACGCUGGCGGCGUGCCUAAUACAUGCAAGUCGAGCGGAAUGAUGAAGAAGCUUGCUUCUUCUGAUUUUAGCGGCGGACGGGUGAGUAACACGUGGGCAACCUACCUUGUAGAUUGGGAUAACUCCGGGAAACCGGGGCUAAUACCGAAUAAUCCAUUUUGCUUCAUGGCGAGAUGUUGAAAGACGGUUUCGGCUGUCACUACAAGAUGGGCCCGCGGCGCAUUAGCUAGUUGGUAGGGUAAUGGCCUACCAAGGCGACGAUGCGUAGCCGACCUGAGAGGGUGAUCGGCCACACUGGGACUGAGACACGGCCCAGACUCCUACGGGAGGCAGCAGUAGGGAAUCUUCCGCAAUGGACGAAAGUCUGAUGGAGCAACGCCGCGUGAGUGAAGAAGGUUUUCGGAUCGUAAAACUCUGUUGUAAGGGAAGAACACGUACGAGAGUAACUGCUCGUACCUUGACGGUACCUUAUUAGAAAGCCACGGCUAACUACGUG